UUUUAUAUAUUCACAGCCAAAGAACACUGCAUGAGAAAAGUGACCCUAAAUGCUAAAUUGGUUGGAACAGCCCUUCCAUGAGUGGAAGAGGUUUUCUUCCAACGGAGAGGCACCUUUGUUUUGGUUUCUAACACAUUCUAAAUUGAAGCCAUCAUUACAAGUCCUACUCCUAGUUAGCUGCAGUAUGUCAUGAACAAACAAGAGACAAGACAUCAGUAACAAAUCUCAUAUUUCUGGCAGCUCUAUCCUACUUAGAAGCAAGUUCCUCCAAGAUCAAUGGGAUUUACUUCCAGGAUUUGGUUUAUCUCCGGUCCCUAUUCCAUUCCCACACAGUUUCUUGGCAGACUGUGCCAAUAAAUCACUCAGGGGGGAGAAGUUCUUGCUUACAUCUCACACCCACCUCUUAGAAACAUCAGCCGAAUAUAAAUGAAAUGGGACAUUCCCCGAAGAGCCAGCAGCCUACAGGGCAUCAAGCAGCUACAAGUGAGUUAUUUAGAUACAGUGAGUGAUGAAAAUAUCUACAGCCGUUUCAGUCUCUUUGCCUUUACCUUUUCAUG